AAGUCGUAACAAGGUUUCCGUAGGUGAACCUGCGGAAGGAUCAUUAAAGAAUGGAGCGGGCUCCGGCCCCCCUUCUCACCCUUUGUAUACCAAACUUCAGUUGCUUUGGCCCCAGUCGGCCAGAGGACCCAAACCCUAGAAUUAUUGCUGUCUGAGUACUAUAUAAUAGUUAAAACUUUCAACAACGGAUCUCUUGGUUCUG
rnacentral:misc_RNA from 1 species